UUUUUUUAUUAUAGUUGAUUUACAAAGUUCUGUCAAUUCCUGCUGUACCACAUUGGUAUUAUUGUUCACUGUGAUUCUUGUCUCUGAAGAUGUUCCUGGUGCUUUGAAAAAGCAGCCGUGUCUCCCUGCCUCCGUUGCCCUUUCCUUCUGCCUGGCUGACCUGCAGGCACAGCCUGAAGGCCACUGGAAAGAUACAGGCAUAUCCGCAAAUACUAAAUGUGCGUAAGGACCUGGGACACUUUGAAGAAAGUAACGCUGCUUUUAAGCAGUGAGGAUGCUCGAUAUUUUCCAUGUUGGUUUUUUUCCCCGCAGAUUGAAAUUCUGGAGAACAGUUUCUUUCUGGUGACUUGUCUUAACACAACCAAACAGCUUUGUAAUGCUAACCUGACAUGGGCCUUGCUGGGCUUAGUCAUCUUUCAAGAGCUGCACAGAAGCGAGAACCUUAUAGAAAGGCACGGGGUAGCCUGAGGUGCCAGAGCUUAGUGUAAUUCCACAGUGAGAAGUGCGUGCAAAUGCUCUUUGCAGGGAACAAGGAUGAACUCCUACCCUUGAUACUCUUCAGCUGCGUCAAUUGCCUUUCUGUCUCUCCCAUCACUUUAAAUGUAAUGGGUCCUGCUAGAUUUCCAGAUACAGAGGAUUUCUGAAGGAAGCAGCCUGGCCAACUCCAACUUGACCCUGCUAACUCCCAGGUACCACCAUAGGAUCAAUUGUUGUUUUGUUUUGUUUUUGUCUUUUGUAUUUUUAGGGCCGUACUGGUGGCAUAUGGAGGUUCCCAGGCUAGGGGUCGAAUCAGAGCUACAGCUGCCAGCCGGCCUACGUCACAGCCACAGCAACGCCAGAUCCAAGCCGCCUCUCCGACCUACACCACAGCUUGUGGCAAUGCCAGAUCCUUAACCCACUCAGUGAGGCCAGGGAUCGAACCCUCAACGUCAUGGUUCCUAGACGGAUUCAUUUCUGCUGCGCCAGGACAGGAACUCCCAGAUCAAUCUGAAAUACAGUGCUUUUAGAGUUUCCUGGUGGCUCAGCAGGUUAAGGACCUGGUGUUGUCCCUGCUGUGGCUUUGACCCCUGGACCAGGAAAUUCUGCUUGCUUCAGGUGUGGUCCAAAAGAAUGGGAUGCUUUAGAAAUUUAUAAUAAGAAACAGGUGGAUUUGUUUCAACUGGGAAAUAACUCUGUAUGCAUGGAAUUUAAAAUGUGAGCAUCACAGAAUCAUUUUCCAUCUAAUGAAUUAGCAUCAGAAAAAGCAGUCUAAGCUGAAGGGGGAAAAAAAUCAACAGUCAGGACCUCUUCUGGCAUGUGGAUAGAGCCCUGUCCUUAAAAGGAGGGCUACACAGGCUUCAUUUGUCACGAAUCCAUCUCCUUAGAUGCACAGUCUUUAAUUAGUUUUCCCCAAACAUAAACCACCUGUCAUGAUCAUUUAAAUAAAAUGGAAGCAUUUGAUUUUGCCAUAGAGUUACUUUACCUUAAUUCCCUUACUCCUCUUCUGUAGAAUGGAAGAAAAGGGGGGGGGGACCUUUCCUGGAAAAAUGUCUGAAUGGAACCACUCCCCUGGGUGUAUGUAGGAAUAUGGGCAGAGAGGGUCUCAUGGCUCAUGGGGCAGAAAUGCUCAACUCUGGACUCAUGAAACCUCCAGGCACCAUUUUCAGCAUUUGUAAGAGAGUGAAAUUAAAGCCUGUUUCCAACACAAGCCUUUGGAAGCAGGACAUCACUGAAUACUCCUUCUCCUAUCGCGCUUGCAUUGCUACCUGCCUCUGAGGGAAUGAAGCUUGCUGGUGGUAAGCUCCAUAUGAGCAAUAAUGACCAGCCACGUCACCAUACCAUGCCACUUCUCCAUCUCCAAGAGCAUGGUUUGAGGAAAAAGUGGGGCAGGCAUGGGACUGUGUGCUGGGGGUUGUGGAAAGGGCCCUGCCCUUAAAAGGAGGGCUACACAGCCUUAAUUUGUCAUGAACAUGUGUCUCCUUAGAUGAACAGUCUUUAAUUUCUGAAAAUCCCAUCUGUAAAAGCUGAGCCGAGAAUAGCCACGGGUCCUAGCUCUAAGGCUGGGAGCUGCACCUCCACAGGAGCUACACUGCCAGGUUCAUGGAUGGUCCAGGCUGUGAGAGCUUCUGGUUGCCUCUGUUCAGAUGGAAAGAUACGUUGUGUAGAGCUCCGAGGGGGCAGAUGGGGACCAGACUGAGCAGAACCAGCUCUUCCUAUGUACAAAUAUAAACAGAGGUGCCGUGGGGCCUGGGUACCCUGUUCAUGAAUCUUCAGAGCAUCUCCACAUGGUGGACCAGGAAUCUUCUGGAUGUCCCUCAUUAAGGAACCAGCCCAACUUGCUUACCUGCCUCUCACAUGCCUAAGUACAGCUGACUUUGAGUCUUUCGAAUUCAGAAAACAGCCAGGCCAGGGUAGGAGCCAAGCUAACUAGCAUUAUACUAAUUUCAAGUAGACACAGUUUGGUGCACAUAUUUUAGGGUGUGAGCAGGACCGAGGAGCACAUGCUGAAACUUCCUACAUAAAGAAUUCUGUUUAAGUUUCUUAGAUUUGUGCAACUGUCUACAGAAUAUUUAGAAACUGAUGGCACCUCAAUCUGAAUUGCCUGAAGCCGUCAGCUUAACAUUCCAUCCUUAUUUGACAUACUUGAAAAUAAUGACACACACUUGCUAAUUUUCUUUUACUCCUUUGACUGAUUCCAAUGAGCAAAGCUUCAGUUUUGUCCUUCUGCCUCUGUCAUCUGUCUUCUCUUCAUUCCAGAAGGGGAUUCCAUUUUCUCCUUAGAGGAGACUUUCCACUGACUUGUCAAACUUCCCUCAAGUUUUACUUAGAUUAAAAUGCCUAUGGGAGUUCCCAUCGUGGCUCAGUGGUUAACGAAUCUGACUAGGAACCAUGAGGUUGCGGGUUCGAUCCCUGGCCUCACCCAGUGGGUUAAAGAUCCGGAGUUGCCCUGAGCUGUGGUGUAGGUUGCAGACACGGCUCGGAUCCCGUGUUGCCGUGGCUGUGGUGUAGGCUGGUGGCAACAGCUCCGAUUUGACCCCUAGCCUGGGAACCUCCAUAUGCCGCUGGUGCGGCCCUAA
rnacentral:lncRNA from 1 species